ACGCUGGCGGCAGGCCUAACACAUGCAAGUCGAGCGGUAGAGAGAAGCUUGCUUCUCUUGAGAGCGGCGGACGGGUGAGUAAUGCCUAGGAAUCUGCCUGGUAGUGGGGGAUAACGUUCGGAAACGGACGCUAAUACCGCAUACGUCCUACGGGAGAAAGCAGGGGACCUUCGGGCCUUGCGCUAUCAGAUGAGCCUAGGUCGGAUUAGCUAGUUGGUGAGGUAAUGGCUCACCAAGGCGACGAUCCGUAACUGGUCUGAGAGGAUGAUCAGUCACACUGGAACUGAGACACGGUCCAGACUCCUACGGGAGGCAGCAGUGGGGAAUAUUGGACAAUGGGCGAAAGCCUGAUCCAGCCCAUGCCGCGUGUGUGAAGAAGGUCUUCGGAUUGUAAAGCACUUUAAGUUGGGAGGAAGGGCAUUAACCUAAUACGUUAGUGUUUUGACGUUACCGACAGAAUAAGCACCGGCUAACUCUGUGCCAGCAGCCGCGGUAAUACAGAGGGUGCAAGCGUUAAUCGGAAUUACUGGGCGUAAAGCGCGCGUAGGUGGUUUGUUAAGUUGGAUGUGAAAUCCCCGGGCUCAACCUGGGAACUGCAUUCAAAACUGACUGACUAGAGUAUGGUAGAGGGUGGUGGAAUUUCCUGUGUAGCGGUGAAAUGCGUAGAUAUAGGAAGGAACACCAGUGGCGAAGGCGACCACCUGGACUAAUACUGACACUGAGGUGCGAAAGCGUGGGGAGCAAAC
rnacentral:rRNA from 1 species